ensembl:lncRNA
UAACUAUAGCUCAGAAGAAGCCAUGUGGUUGGUAUGGGGUUGUCACCGACGUGCGCCUCAUUUGAUCCUUGCAUUGCAAGGGGUUGGAUUAGAUGACCCUUAGUGUCCAUUCCAACUUUACAAUUCUAUGAUUCUGCCAUUUUCUGCUGAGUAGAAACUUUGGGGAACUUUGAUGGCAGGUACAAUCAUGAAAGGGCUCUUGGCACACAAAGGUAGAACUCUGUCUGGCUUUAGAACAAAUACAGGAAGCGUAUAUUGCUGGUUUUCUCCUCAGAACACUUAACGUAACCUGCCUCAGAAGUCCACACAGUUGGGGAUGAAGAGACAAAACGCCCCUCAGAUGUAAGCAAUUAAUUGCCGUAAUUGAUUGCCAUAAGAGGCUGUGUGGAGUCACCGGGUGGAGCUGUUCAACAUUGCAACUGGGGAUCGUGGGGAAUCAUCAGUUCUGCAAAACUGUCAAGCUCUGCAGCUGGGAAAUGUUUCCGUCACCAGGUCAGUGUGGGAUGAUGGGGAGCAGUCCUGUGCUGUAAGGGAAUAUUCAAGUUGCUCAGUUCUGCAGGUACACGUCAUCUCUGAAUGUUCUUUCCUUCCUUGUCUCUGUUGGAGGAGGAGGAUGUGCCACAAAGCUCCUUUGCUUGAGCUCAGAAAUUUCUGUCAGUAAUACUUUGGCUGCAAUGGAAGACAGGGAGCUGAGGAGGUGAGAGAAGAGGCUCUGUCUGAUGCAUGAUCUUCUCCUUCCUGGGGUCCUGCUAACUUCAGGAGUCCUAUAUAACCAAAGUCCAUGCCAACGUGGGAGCAGCCAACUCACUAAUCUCCUGUCAAUCAGAUUCAGCUAAAAGACAGGACUUGGUGUGACUGACCCAGGGCUACAGUGAUGUCUUCCAAUAGAAAAAGCAAGCCAAUCCUUUCUCGUUUGACUGCAGCUGAAGCGCAGCUCAUUUGUUCUGAAAUGAGGUAAAGUCUCACACAGUACUUUGCAAUUUUCAUGCGGUGGGAAUGCUCUCAUAUAAAAUUCCAUGUGGAAAGAUGGAAAAAUAGCACAUCAUCACAGAAGUGUUUUGUUGUCAUUGCUGCAGAUGUUGUAACCAAGGUCACAUCCACACAAUACAUUUAUCAGUAGUUUUAGAUUGCCUAUUGUAAGCACCACAGCCAAAUAAUUCUGAUCUACCACAGCCCCCACAGAGGUCUUGGCCCAUGCAACCAUAGUUGCCAUUUGAAUUAAACUAGUUAGUACACCUAGAUGACUGCCACCUAGUUGAGUUUCAUCAGCUGCAAUAGUAGGAAUUGUAAGGGACCCAGCAUUGAUCUCACUGUACUGAUUGCUGGUGGUGGGCCUGAUGCAUAUUAGCAAGAGCUGAAUCUUUUAUGGUACUAGCAAUCGUCACUCCCAAGUUGAAAGAACCCAAACAGGAGACGCAAGAGUGAUCUUGUCGCAGGGAGUUAGAAAUUCUGCUCCUUAGGCAGAAGAUGCUGUUUGAAAAUCUCCAGAGGAAAACACCGCAUAAAACUUUGUAAACUCCAUAACUGAUUUUAAAGACAGAAAUACAAAAUAAUGCCUCAAUAACCAGUUAAACUGAUUCCUCGUCUGGGACAUAUUUGUUAGGGUGAAGGGUUUGACUGAUAUCAAGUCUGGCUUGACAAUAACUGUUAGCAGCUUUUAAAAAUGUAUGUCUUCCUGACAGCAUUAGACAAAACAAAGAAGUGAAAUCCGAUCAAGGCAGCCUAGGCUAGAUCUGACUAGGCAGAUCUAUCAAGUUAUGUGUUCAAGCAGAAAAAAUAAAUGCCACAGCCUGUUUUGCAGGUGGGAGGUACGGACAAGGUAAAGGAAUAUUAAGAUUCAUUGAGGUAACACAACCCAAGUUAGAGGAGGUACUAUAAGCUUUCCUAUUGAUUUAUUACUAGGACUUGUAUGUCAAUGCUGCACUGUAAUUAUAUAACCCAGGGAUGGAUUACCUGUGUCCCUCCAGAUGUUGCUGGACUCACAUUGCUCCUUACCAUUAAUUGAUUGAUUGAUUGAUUGAUUGAUUGAUUUGAUGAUU